UUUCUAGAUAUUUUUGUUGUUGUUAGUGAAGAAUGUUGUUGGACUCGUCACUACCACCACCACCACCACCAUCACCACUAUUUUCACUGUCGAUAUCGUGUUAGUUGUUGUGGUGGUGCUUAUCAUCAUCGUUACCGUUGUCAGCAUCAUCGUCAUCAUCACCACCGUAUUGAUUCUCGUCCAUUGUUUAUUAUUGCUUGUGUUGUUAUUGUUGCUGUUGUCAAUCUGCGUUGUCAUUUAUUUUAUAUUAUAGUACACAAGCUGUUUUGUUGCUUCUCUGUGACCGUCUCCGUCUCUACCACUGCUGCUAGCGGCGCUGACGCCGCCGCCGUCGUCUGCUCUUUGUCGUCGUCAUCGUCAUCGUAGUCAUGGUCGUUGUCGCCUGCUCAGCUUAAACGCCGAUCUGGCAGUCUUUAAAUCAACACUAAAUUCUUUGAAUUGUUUUUAAAAGUGAGUAAACAAUAAACCCCAGACAAAAUAUAUAGAUAUAUAUAUAUAUUUUCUUAAACUUAAUCAACAGGUGAACAACCGGCCGACUGAAAAUAGUCACAGUUCUGCAAUGGACGACAAACUUAUCCGGAACCUACGUUUUUUAUUAUUUGUUUUAUAAACAGUUUGUUUAUGGAUACGUAAAGUAAAUUUCAAAGGAUAACAGAAGCUUCUCACGGAAAUAUUCCCCUUAUUUUUUGGAGUAUAGUAGCUGUAUGAAGGAGAGAAACUUGGGGAGAUACAUAACAUUAAGGAUUAAG
rnacentral:lncRNA from 1 species